GUUACUUAUGAGGUCUGUGAGUAUUUUCUGUUCCAAAUUGCAUUUUAUUCAAUAAAUGGAGUACUGUGCUAAGGAUCCACCUUGUGGAAAUGAUUUGAAGCUUACUGAUUACAAAGUGCAGUUCUUUUUUGGAAUUGUAGUGAAGAUGGAAUUUGGACCCGUGGACCCGUGGAACCAGCACCUGAAGCCAGCAAUAAAUCUAUCAGUCACAGUAAGUAACCACUGUGUACUUAAUUAUUUUUACUUUUUUUUACUGGAGUUGUGUAAUAACGGCUAUGUGCAAAGGAGAUUUUCUACUUUUCUGUG